GAUGAACGCUGGCGGCAUGCCUAACACAUGCAAGUCGAACGAAGCCUUCGGGCUUAGUGGCGCACGGGUGCGUAACGCGUGGGAAUCUGCCCUUUGGUUCGGAAUAACAGUUGGAAACGGCUGCUAAUACCGGAUGAUGACGAAAGUCCAAAGAUUUAUCGCCAGAGGAUGAGCCCGCGUAGGAUUAGCUAGUUGGUGUGGUAAAGGCGCACCAAGGCGACGAUCCUUAGCUGGUCUGAGAGGAUGAUCAGCCACACUGGGACUGAGACACGGCCCAGACUCCUACGGGAGGCAGCAGUGGGGAAUAUUGGACAAUGGGCGAAAGCCUGAUCCAGCAAUGCCGCGUGAGUGAUGAAGGCCCUAGGGUUGUAAAGCUCUUUUACCCGGGAUGAUAAUGACAGUACCGGGAGAAUAAGCCCCGGCUAACUCCGUGCCAGCAGCCGCCGUAA
rnacentral:rRNA from 1 species